rnacentral:miRNA from 1 species
CGAGAAAUGUCGCCGGUCGUA